rnacentral:rRNA from 1 species
AGCGAACGCUGGCGGCAGGCUUAACACAUGCAAGUCGAGCGGACCUUUCGGGGUCAGCGGCGGACGGGUGAGUAACGCGUGGGAACGUGCCUUCCGGUUCGGAAUAACCCUGGGAAACUAGGGCUAAUACCGGAUACGCCCUUAUGGGGAAAGGUUUACUGCCGGAAGAUCGGCCCGCGUCUGAUUAGCUAGUUGGUGGGGUAACGGCCUACCAAGGCGACGAUCAGUAGCUGGUCUGAGAGGAUGAUCAGCCACACUGGGACUGAGACACGGCCCAGACUCCUACGGGAGGCAGCAGUGGGGAAUAUUGGACAAUGGGCGCAAGCCUGAUCCAGCCAUGCCGCGUGAGUGAUGAAGGCCUUAGGGUUGUAAAGCUCUUUUAUCCGGGACGAUAAUGACGGUACCGGAGGAAUAAGCCCCGGUUAACUUCGUG